rnacentral:RNase_P_RNA from 1 species
CGAGCCGGGCGGACGGCCGCGUCAAGAUCUCCGAUCUUGCCGAGGAACGUCCGGGCUCCACAGGGCAGGGUGAUGGCUAACGGCCACCCGGGGUGACCCGCGGGACAGUGCCACAGAAAACAAACCGCCGGGAGUUUCGGCCCCCGGUAAGGGUGAAACGGUGGUGUAAGAGACCACCAGUGCCCAGGGCGACCUGGGCAGCUAGGUAAACCCCACCCGGAGCAAGGUCAAGAGGGGUCUCCGUCGAACGAGACCCUGCGCGGACGCUCGAGGGCUGCCCGCCCGAUGUCCGCGGGUAGACCGCACGAGGCCGGCGGCAACGCCGGCCCUAGAUGGAUGGCCGUCUCCCCGGCCGCCGCGAGGCAACCGGGCGACAGAACCCGGCGUACAGCCCGACUCGUCUG